CGUUAUGCUGGAUCACGUUCGCAAUUAUAUUAAUUAUAACAUUAAUUGGAUUGUAUUUUCAGACAUUUAUAUUCUCCGGAAAUGAAUCUGGACUUAUCAGUAUGUGUACUGCCGUUUACUUUCUCUUCCUCGCCUUUCAAUUGCAAAUGGAUGUCACGGCAAAUUUGAUCCUGUGGAUAUUGUGACAAUCACCGUCAAUUUAUCAAACAAUACACACUCUGUAAUACUGCUGUAUCCCUUCUGGUGGAAUUAUAAUCUGCAAUAUUCACACACAAGUUGUUAUUUUUUAUAAUUUGCCGAGAUUGCGAUUAACCCUUGGUUAAACUAGCUGAGUCAGGCUCAGCAUAGUCGUUAAGUAGCAACCAACCAACCAGCCAAUCAAUCAAUUAUUUAAUCAUUCACUCGUUCAACUGUAAAUUAUUGGUCAAUAUUUAUUAACACGUAACGUACAGUAUCAUAUAAAGAACGACGGUCAAUUGUAAGACAAACUAAGUAUCCAUAGCGGACUAACAAUUUGUGAUUGGAGACUCUUAUUCGGGAGGAUAAAACGUAGUGGCUGAUUUGUAUUCAUGAACUUGAUAUACGGUUCCUAAUAUUCUGGUCAUAUCAAACGAUAAAGACUACAAUUGCAAGAAGCUUACUUUAAUACAGUCCUGUCAUGAUGAAUAAGUCUCAUAUCUAGCUGCUAUACGUCAGUUUAACACACAUGAUGUCAAUUUUAUUACAUUUCGUGUAAUCAUUGAUAGCUUAUAUUACUAAAGAUGAUGCCCCUGGUCAAAUUUCUUUAUUAUUAUGUUCUUUAUCAGGCCAUUUGAAAUACACCUUUAUAGCACAUAAUCGGUAUAAUCAAAUCACCCAGUUAGAAAGGAAACCCAUUUAAAUGCAUCUGGGUAUGAGGACGUAGAGUGCGAUCUGUGACGAUUUUAUAAAUUUAAAAAAAAAAACAGUCAAUAUUUAACAUUGUUGAUGAAUGGAAACCUGAUAGAAAUCUACUGUAAACAUGGUAAAAUGACCCGUCAACGUGAUAUCAUUAUAAACAAUCUUGUAAAAACUGUAAUGUAAUGGUUCAAGGCCUUUUAACCCCCUUUACAAUAACUUUAAUGUUAAAUAACGCCAAAUUGUUAUGAUGAUUUUUUUUUUACAUUUGUAGGUGUAUGAAGCUCCGAUGUAUGUGUAAAGUAUAAAUACAGUAGAAAUCGUGAAAUCUGUUACAAUUUGAUUUUUAAAUUCAAUUCGAUGCAUGCCAAGUAGAUGUAGAACAGUGCGAGGACGCAACAGGUGGUCACAAUAUAUAUUGAUUUUUAAAGUAUACGUAAAUAUACCCUUAUUAUUGUGUCUAUGUUUUCUCAAAUAUUUGUUCAGUAUCCAAUAUGACAUUCUACCGAGCAUUUUAAGCACAAUAUAUCAAAGUAAUGAAGUAAAAAUCAGCAAGUUUAAAAUGUAUGAAUAAAAUAAUAAAUUUCUAGAAGAAAAA